UACGUAGGAGGCGAGCGUUGUCCGGAUUUACUGGGCGUAAAGCGCGUGUAGGCGGUUCGAUUAGUCUGCUGUGAAAGCUCCCCGCUUAACGAGGAGAGGUCGGUGGAUACUGUCGGACUUGAGGACGGUAGAGGGGGGUGGAAUUCCCGGUGUAGUGGUGAAAUGCGUAGAUAUCGGGAGGAACACCAGUGGCGAAGGCGGCCCCCUGGGCCGCUCCUGACGCUGAGACGCGAAGGCCAGGGUAGCGAACGGG
rnacentral:rRNA from 1 species